rnacentral:tRNA from 1 species
GGCUCGGUAGCUAAGUCGGUAAAGCACUUGUGUAGUAUAUAAAGGUCGUGAGUUAAAAACUCUUUUGAGCUU